CAAGAGGAAACUCCUUGAAAAGAGUGGAAGCUACGACUCGCUGCAGAGUUUAUAUACGAGGUCGGGGUUCGGUCAAUGAUUCUGCUAAGGUGCAUCACCCAAGACCAGAUUUUUACAAGAAACAGCGGCUGAGGGAAUUGGCAAUUCUGAACGGUACUCUAAGAGGAGAGCCCUCAUAGGAGUCCUAGUGCAUCUCCAUUCAACAGCACAGGGAAGAAACGUGCGAAAACUGGGUUAUAAGACUUUUUCACUGCUUCAAACCUUUGCCUUGUGAAUACGUACUCACUCUCGCUCUAGAAUGGAGAUUUGUCGAUUGAAGAACAACAGGACCUCCAGCUUUGGUUGGUUGGUGUUAUUGGUUGGUGUUGUUGGUUUGCUGGUGGGUGUUUCCUGGUGUUUUUGAAACCUGGUUGUGUUCAGGUUCUGUUUUGGUUCAUGUUUGGUUCAUUGUUGGUGGCUGAUGGGUGUUUCAUGGUUCAUUUUCCUGCAUUGGUUUAGGGGAUUUUUGUUACCAAACCCUCUAUGCAUACCCCCAAAUGCUAUUUCAGUUUUGUGUAGGCCUGGUUCUUGAAUGUUGGUAUUUUUUUUGCUUUCAGGCCAAGAUAUUGACGCUCAUGUAUUCAGGCAGAUUUGUGAACAUAUUUUCAGUUUUGU